rnacentral:rRNA from 1 species
UACAGAGGGUGCGAGCGUUGUCCGGAAUUACUGGGCGUAAAGCGCACGUAGGCGGCUUUGUAAGUUAGAGGUGAAAGCCUGGGGCUCAACCCCAGAAUUGCCUUUAAGACUGCAUCGCUUGAAUCCAGGAGAGGUGAGUGGAAUUCCGAGUGUAGAGGUGAAAUUCGUAGAUAUUCACAAGAACACCAGUGGCGAAGGCGGCUCACUGGCCCGGUACUGGACGCUGAGGUGGCGAAAAGCGUGGGGAGCAACAGG